GACAGAGGGUGCAAACGUUGUUCGGAAUUACUGGGCGUAAAGCGCGUGUAGGCUGCUUCGCAAGUCGGAUGUGAAAGCCCUGGGCUCAACCCAGGAAGUGCAUUCGAAACUGCAGAGCUGGAGUCCUGGAGAGGAAGGCGGAAUUCUCGGUGUAGAGGUGAAAUUCGUAGAUAUCGAGAGGAACACCGGUGGCGAAGGCGGCCUUCUGGACAGUGACUGACGCUGAGACGCGAAAGCUAGGGGAGCAAACAGG
rnacentral:rRNA from 1 species